rnacentral:rRNA from 1 species
UACAGAGGGGGCAAGCGUUGUUCGGAAUUACUGGGCGUAAAGGGCGCGUAGGCGGCCCGCUAAGUCGAACGUGAAAUCCCUGGGCUCAACCGAGGAACUGCACUCGAUACUGGUUGGCUAGAGUCCGGGAGGGGAUGGUGGAAUUCCCAGUGUAGCGGUGAAAUGCGUAGAUAUCGGGAAGAACACCGGUGGCGAAGGCGGCCAUCUGGACCGGUACUGACGCUGAGGCGCGAAAGCCAGGGGAGCGAAUGGG